rnacentral:tRNA from 1 species
AUUUUCAUAAUAUAAAAGUAUAUUUGACUUCCAAUCAAAAAGUCUAAGAAAUUAGUGAAAAUA